UACGUAGGGUGCGAGCGUUAAUCGGAAUUACUGGGCGUAAAGCGUGCGCAGGCGGCUUGCCAAGUCAGAUGUGAAAGCCCCGGGCUCAACCCGGGAACGGCGUUUGAAACCUGGCAGGCUAGAGUUUGGCAGAGGGGGUGGAAUUCCACGUGGUAGCAGUGAAAUGCGUAGAGAUGUGGAGGACACCGAUGGCGAAGGCAGCCCCUG
rnacentral:rRNA from 1 species